rnacentral:lncRNA from 1 species
UCUCCUUUUUCCUUUUUCUUUUCUUCUUCUUCUUUCCUUUUUUUCUUCUUUUUCCUUCUUUUUUCUUUUUUCUCUUUUUUUUAAGAAUUUUUUAUUGAAUCUGAACUCAUAGGAUUAGGCAUGUCCUUGUUAUCCUUUCCGAUCAAGAUCGAUGCUUUUCAAGAUAAGGCCUUUUACAUAAAGUCAUUCCCAGCUUGGCAUGAAGUUCUUUUUAUAUGGGAAGGAUCUUCUUCAAUACCAGGUCCCUCU